AGGGCCUGGGUUCCGGAUCAGGCCAAAGGUCCACCUUGCCUGACAUCGUUUCCUUGCAGAUGCCAACCAGAUGCCUCUGGGAAGAUUCCUCUGCUCCUUGCCACAUCCUACAUCGUGACAAGGUAAGGCUGCCAGCUGGCGAUGCAGCCUGACCUGAAGUUCUGGGGUCUUUACAGUGCAAUCCAAUCCGUGUCUACUCAGAAGGAAGUCCCACUGGGUACAAUGGGGCUUACUCCCAGCGUUGUUAAAGAUGGCAUCAAGUUCUAGCGUGUUGGCUGGAGAAUGGCAAAAUCUGACUUACCGUAGUGAAAUGAACCGCACAAAGGAUACCGAUCAA